GUACUCUAGUGGCAAAACUGCUGGCUAGUGUACCUGUUCUGCCAAAAGUAAAAUGGGCUUACUGAGGAAAUUAAAUUUAUGUUCAAGUGCUAUUUCUUUAUGCACCGGGGAACAAGCAUUUCUAACAACCUGGUCCUACGUGGCUGAAACUGGAUCCCAGAAGCCCCGUCCUUCCCGAAGCUCGUAGCGGAAGUGACAUCAGCCCGCCGCCACUAUCUUUUCCCGCGCUGGCUGCCCACGGUCAGUGCUGUUUCACCUUUAUCUUGGUGGAGUCGACCCCGGCUGUGGUGAGUUCCGCCCCUGCUUGGGGGUCCUGGAGACAGGCGGGGGAUGCCAAAGGAAGGAUUGGGUGCGCUCGCCCAGGAGCCUCUCUGAUCCUGCUCAUUUCACUAGCUUCUCCAGGGGUUGUUGGUCCUCCCAGCGUGGCCAGUUCCCAGCUGCAGGUUCAGUCGGUCCACGUCAGGAGCCGCGUCAGGAAGUGUGUUUAUCCCGCGUCCAUGGGAUGUUUUCUGGAGUGCUUUCAUCCGCUGUGCUCCCCUCUUCAAAAGCUUCUAAAGCAACCUUGGUGAAUUUUUUUCUUUCCGAAAGGAAAAGGAUUUCUGCCAUUCUGGUAAGGUUGGCUCUGGCCCCGCAUCCUCCCGCGUCAGGAACCUGGCGAUUCCGGAGUGUUCUUGGACUUCAAAUAACCCUGUACAAAGAGGAAUGGAGAUUGCCUCUAUUCACCUAGAUUCAUAAGUUGCCCUGAGGCAAUCUUGGCAUCAAGGAAGAGAGCAUUGAGGCACAACUGACCAUCAGCUUCAGAGAAUGGCAGUCACUGAUUUGUCCCAUGGGUUUUUUCCCAGGGAACCAAUCUGCCCUUUUGAAGAAAAGACAAAGAUAGGAACGAUGGUGGAGGACUACCUGGCAAAUUCUUAUCAGACAAGAAGCUACAGUGGAUGGAAACUCUGAGAAUUGUGGAGAGGUCUUCAGUGAAUGGUUUUGCCUUAAAACACACAUGAGAGCUCAGAAUGGAGGGAACAUCUUUGAGGGUAAUUGUUAUGGAAAAGACAUCCUCAGUGUGCACAAGGAAGCCUCUAUUGGACAGGAACUUUCCAAAUUUAAUCCAUGUGGAAAAGUCUUCACCUUAACUCCAGAUCUUGCUGCACAUCUUGGAAUUCUCAAUGCAAGACAACCAUACAAAUGUAAGGAAUGUAGAAAAGGCUUUAAGUAUUUUGCAAGCCUUGAUAAUCACAUGGGAAUCCACAUUGGAGAGAAAUUCUGUGAAUUUCAGGAAUGUAGGAGAGCCAUCACUCAUUCCUCACACCUAAAGCAGUGUGUAACAGUUCAUACUGGAAAGAAAUCUAAAAAGACUAAGAAACAUGGGAAAUCCUUCACUAAUUUUUCUCAACUUUCUGCACAUGUGAAAAUUCAUAAAGGAGAGAAGUCCUUUGAAUGUAAAGAAUGUGGAAGAUCCUUUAGAAAUUCCUCAUCCUUUAAUGUUCACAUUCAAAUUCACACUGGAAUAAAACCACACAAAUAUACGGAAUGUGGGAAAGCCUUCACUAGGUCAACUCACCUUACUCAACAUGUAAGAACUCACACUGGAAUAAAACCCUAUGAAUGUAA
ensembl:lncRNA novel transcript